GGAGAGGUGCUGGAGUGGCCGAACAGGCACGACUGGAAAUCGUGUAGGGGUCUUGCCCCUCGCGGGUUCGAAUCCCGCCCUCUCCG
rnacentral:tRNA from 1 species